rnacentral:lncRNA from 1 species
GUCGGCGUAACUUAGGGGUAUAGAAAAUGAAAGGAAUAAAAUGUAUUAAACUUGUAAUAACUUAGAUUGUAUUUGGAAGUUGAAUGUAAUAUAUAAAGUGUGAUGUAAGUAAAUGAAUCUAAUGUGAAUGUUGUAAUAACAUAGGAUGUGUUUAUGUUGUUUGAUACUUCCUUACGCAAUCAUGAUUGAUAUCUGUUCCUGAUUGGAACCAUUGUAAUGUACAUUGUUUGGAUUGCGACGCCUAGAACGUACAGG